GAGUUUGAUCCUGGCUCAGGACGAACGCUGGCGGCGUGCCUAAUACAUGCAAGUGGAACGCAUGAUUGAUACCGGAGCUUGCUCCACCAUUAAUCAUGAGUCGCGAACGGGUGAGUAACGCGUAGGUAACCUACCUCAUAGCGGGGGAUAACUAUUGGAAACGAUAGCUAAUACCGCAUAACAGUCUUUGACACAUGUUAUUAGUUUAAAAGGGGCAAUUGCUCCACUAUCAGAUGGACCUGCGUUGUAUUAGCUAGUUGGUAAGGUAACGGCUUACCAAGGCGACGAUACAUAGCCGACCUGAGAGGGUGAUCGGCCACACUGGGACUGAGACACGGCCCAGACUCCUACGGGAGGCAGCAGUAGGGAAUCUUCGGCAAUGGGGGCAACCCUGACCGAGCAACGCCGCGUGAGUGAAGAAGGUUUUCGGAUCGUAAAGCUCUGUUGUAAGAGAAGAACGGAUGUGGGAGUGGAAAAUCCAUGUCGUGACGGUAUCUUACCAGAAAGGGACGGCUAACUACGUGCCAGCAGCCGCGGUAAUACGUAGGUCCCGAGCGUUGUCCGGAUUUAUUGGGCGUAAAGCGAGCGCAGGCGGUUUCAUAAGUCUGAAGUUAAAGGCAGUGGCUUAACCAUUGUACGCUUUGGAAACUGUGAGACUUGAGUGCAGAAGGGGAGAGUGGAAUUCCAUGUGUAGCGGUGAAAUGCGUAGA
rnacentral:rRNA from 1 species